GCCGGCGCUCUAGGCACGUGUGCAGCCUACGCUUUCCGGAUGAUCUUCAUUGAAAGUAUUUCCACAAAAACUAGGAAUAUUUCCAAGAAUGCUUUAAUUUUAUGGAACAUAAAAGCGUAGAACAUAAUAUUGUGCCACUAUGAGAAAGGCAAGGUUGGUCUUUAGAGUAGAGAGACCUGGCCUGAAUCUUGGCUCUUCCAACUCAAGGUACAUGUGUCUCUCAGAUGCUCAGUU